CCAGCCUCCAGCCCCUCAAGCUCUGAGGGCAAAAUGGACCCCUGAUCUCAAAGCAGCUGUGCCUUCUGGCCACAGGGUGCCCAGCCUGCGUGGAGCUGGAAGUCCGCAGGGAAGUGGGGUGCAGCAGGGCUACAUGAGCUCUCUUCAGGGGUCUGUGGCCAGGCCGGAUGGCGGCGCUCGGUCCUUCCGCCUUACCAUCUUCUAGGGGACACAGGUGUCUCAGGGACCCGUUGGUUGCUGCGGCCGCCUUACACACUUCCUUCUUAUUCUGUGUGGUACGGGGCACUCCAGACCCUGUACCCCUGUCACACACGUGUCCUCAUCUCAACUCCAUGUCUCUGGCUUAUCUGGAGCCCUGGCCGAUAAAGUGCUGGGGCCGAUUACCUCCUCUCCAACUGUGGCUCAGGCUGACUAAUCUCCCUGGUGGGAGAACCACUGGCUUAGGGGCUGGAUGCUUCUGGUCUCUAGGUACUUAGAGAUUAAUGUUUCACUAAGUUAUCAAGGCUGCAUUCACAGGUCACCAUAGAUUUUAUACUUCUAUAAGCUUAAUUCUCUUGCUGUUGGCUUCCUGGUGUGUGUGUGUGUGUGUGUGUGUACUGCAUGCCUGUGUACACGAGUGUGUGAUUUCCUGGUGUGUGUGUGGCAUAUGUGUGUAUGUGUGUAGUUUCCUGGAGUGUGUGUGUUUGUAGUUUCCUGGAGUGUGUGUAUGUGUGUGUAUAGUUUCCUGGAGUGUAUGUGUUUGUGUGUAUGGUUUCCUGGAGAAUGUGUGUGUGUAUGUGUGUGUUUGGGUAGUUUUCCUGGAGUUUGUGUGUGAGUGUGUCCAUGGGAGUGUGUGUAGUUUCCUGGCAUGUACGUAUGUUGGGGUCAAGGUGUCAGUGGUUAAAGGCAGAGUUCGGGGGGGCCUUUGGGGGGCCUGGUCUCAGAUGGAUACCUCAGCCCCCCUGCCCUUCUAUCCCUGAACGGGGGAGGGUCUUCCCAGCUGCCCCACCCCCUGAGCCCUGCUGACUUCUUUGCUUCUAAGCAGGCCCAUUUCCCAGGUAUAACCUGUUCGCUGUUUACACUCAUGUGCCCCUGACAAGUCGCACCUGGGCAUGUGGAGGAGGAAGCGUCCCAGCCUCCGGUCACACGUACAGUAAGCACCUUAUCCCAAGACCCUGCUCUCCCCCCUGCACCCAGAUCCGUCUGCCCUGCGGUGCCUGCAGCCCCCUCGCAGAGGCUGUCAGCACACGUGCCCACUUUAUCUCCCUGAUUAAUUCUCGUGGAUCCUUCCCCGCUGUUGCUGCACCCAGGCCUUUCUGGUGGGAUUUAUUGCUUGGGUCCUCUCUCACAGCAGUGUGCUCCCAUGGGCUGGUUUUGGGUGGAUGCGAGUAUCCUGCCCACAAAUCCCUGAGGGAGCUGUAAGGGACUUGGCCUCAUGAUGCGGGUAGCUCCUGGUGGCUGUGUGGCUUGGAGAGUGAGGGGCAGCUCUGCCUUCUCAGUUGCUCUCCUUGUUCAGAAAGCUGCUCCUGCUGUUGCUUCUUGAGCAGCACAGAGUGACCAGGGGCAAGACUAGGGAGAAGAACCUUGGGGCACAUGGCCUGCAGGGGUCCCAGGUCUCCCCAGCCUUUCCAGAGGCCUUAGGGGCUGGAUGCUUCUGGUCUCUAGGUACUUAGAGAUUAAUGUUUCACUAAGUUAUCAAGGCUGCAUUCACAGGUCACCAUAGAUUUUAUACUUCUAUAAGCUUAAUUCUCUUGCUGUUGGCUUCCUGGUGUGUGUGUGUGUGUGUGUGUGUGUACUGCAUGCCUGUGUACACGAGUGUGUGAUUUCCUGGUGUGUGUGUGGCAUAUGUGUGUAUGUGUGUAGUUUCCUGGAGUGUGUGUGUUUGUAGUUUCCUGGAGUGUGUGUAUGUGUGUGUAUAGUUUCCUGGAGUGUAUGUGUUUGUGUGUAUGGUUUCCUGGAGAAUGUGUGUGUGUAUGUGUGUGUUUGGGUAGUUUUCCUGGGUUUGUGUGUGAGUGUGUCCAUGGGAGUGUGUGUAGUUUCCUGGCAUGUACGUAUGUUGGGGUCAAGGUGUCAGUGGUUAAAGGCAGAGUUCGGG
ensembl:lncRNA